GACGAACGCUGGUGGCGUGCUUAACACAUGCAAGUCGAACGGGAUUUAGUAAACAGACGCCUCGGUGGAAGAUUACUAAUGAGAGUGGCGAACGGGUGAGUAACGCGUGAGCAACCUGCCUAUGACAGUGGGAUAGCCUCGGGAAACCGGGAUUAAUACCGCAUAAAAUCGUAGAAACACAUGUUUUAACGGUCAAAGAUUUAUCGGUCAUAGAUGGGCUCGCGUCUGAUUAGCUAGUUGGUGAGAUAACAGCCCACCAAGGCGACGAUCAGUAGCCGGUCUGAGAGGAUGAACGGCCACAUUGGAACUGAGGCACGGUCCAAACUCCUACGGGAGGCAGCAGUGGGGAAUAUUGCACAAUGGGGGAAACCCUGAUGCAGCGACGCCGCGUGAACGAAGAAGGUAUUCGUAUCGUAAAGUUCUGUCCUAUGGGAAGAUAAUGACAGUACCAUAGAAGAAAGCUCCGGCUAAAUACGUG
rnacentral:rRNA from 1 species